rnacentral:misc_RNA from 1 species
CCCCCAGCAGAUUGCAUGCAAAUUUAACACCCAAAUGAAACCAAACUUUUUAAAUUUUUCCCAGAAAAUGAAAAAUCAGAAAAAAGGAGAAACGGAGUAGAAAUAGAGGAAAAAGCCAAAUCCCUCCAAACUUUGACGAAACCCCAAUUUUACCCUCCGAUCCCAAUGUUCAAAACAUUACACACAGCUGUAGCUUCUCUGUGCCUAUCCACUCUCUCUAAUUUUUUUAUUUUUUUUAGUCGAAUUUUCCCUCACUAUAAAAAAGACGAAAAUUGCGGGGAGGAAAUGGAGAUGGAUCUGAGGAGGGACAGGGAGAGAUCGGCGAUUCCAGUAGUGACUCACUACGACUCUAUCGCUGUUGUGGGCUUCACGCGAUUGGAGGAGGUGCAAUUUUUCUUUUUCUCUUUUUUUCCCUCAGUCAAACCCUAGAAAUUUUCAUUUUUUUUAUCUCCUUUAUAAGAGUUUUUGGGGUUAAUAUUAUCUCUCUCUGAGAG